AUGGUGUGGUCCGUCCGCGUCCCCCUGAAGAUUCGCAUCUUCAUGUGGCAGUGGAUCCGUGGACGGAUCCCGUCCGGUGUGGAGGUCCGCAAGCGUAAUGGCCCGGGCACUGGUAUCUGCCCCCUCUGUGCUGUUCCCGAGGACUCCAACCACAUCUUCUUCGCCUGCGUCUCCGCCCGGUUCCUCUGGAGCUGCUUUCGCGAGAUUGUCGGUGGGAGUUGGUGCCACACCAAUUUCCCGGACUUAUUUGCUGAACUCCAAUUGUCCCCUUCGUCCUCUCGCCACAUUAGGUGGUUCGAGGUUGGGGUCCUUGCCUGGACGCUUUGGACCAUUCGCAAUAAGCUAGUGAUCCAGCGUACUCCUCUUCGUCGCGCUACUGAUGCUCUCUACAAAUUCUCGGGUUUCUUGCAGCUUUGGCGGCCGCUUAGCCGCCCCCUGGAUUGGGACGCCAUCUCUGCCUUCAUCGCCGAUCUCCGCUCGAUGGCCGUCCGCCUGUCGCCUCCGCCGGAGCCUGACUAG
rnacentral:rRNA from 1 species